GACGAACGCUGGCGGCGUGCUUAACACAUGCAAGUCGAGCGGUAAGGCCCCUUCGGGGGUACACGAGCGGCGAACGGGUGAGUAACACGUGGGUGACCUGCCCUCAGCUCUGGGAUAAGCCUGGGAAACUGGGUCUAAUACCGGAUAUGACUCCAUGACGCAUGUCGUGGGGUGGAAAGCCUUGUGCGGCUGGGGAUGGGCCCGCGGCCUAUCAGCUUGUUGGUGGGGUGANGGCCUACCAAGGCGACGACGGGUAGCCGGCCUGAGAGGGCGACCGGCCACACUGGGACUGAGACACGGCCCAGACUCCUACGGGAGGCAGCAGUGGGGAAUCUUGCGCAAUGGACGAAAGUCUGACGCAGCAACGCCGCGUGAGGGAUGACGGCCU
rnacentral:rRNA from 1 species